rnacentral:rRNA from 1 species
AGAGUUUGAUCCUGGCUCAGGAUGAACGCUAGCGACAGGCUUAACACAUGCAAGUCGAGGGGCAGCACAGGGUAGCAAUACUUGGGUGGCGACCGGCGCACGGGUGAGUAACGCGUAUGCAACUUACCUAUCAGAGGGGGAUAGCCCGGCGAAAGUCGGAUUAAUACCCCAUGAAACAGGGGUCCCGCAUGGGAAUAUUUGUUAAAGAUUCAUCGCUGAUAGAUAGGCAUGCGUUCCAUUAGGCAGUUGGCGGGGUAACGGCCCACCAAACCGACGAUGGAUAGGGGUUCUGAGAGGAAGGUCCCCCACAUUGGUACUGAGACACGGACCAAACUCCUACGGGAGGCAGCAGUGAGGAAUAUUGGUCAAUGGCCGAGAGGCUGAACCAGCCAAGUCGCGUGAAGGAAGAAGGAUCUAUGGUUUGUAAACUUCUUUUAUAGGGGAAUAAAGUGGAGGACGUGUCCUUUUUUGUAUGUACCCUAUGAAUAAGCAUCGGCUAACUCCGUGCCAGCAGCCGCGGUAAUACGGAGGAUGCGAGCGUUAUCCGGAUUUAUUGGGUUUAAAGGGUGCGUAGGUGGUGAUUUAAGUCAGCGGUGAAAGUUUGUGGCUCAACCAUAAAAUUGCCGUUGAAACUGGGUUACUUGAGUGUGUUUGAGGUAGGCGGAAUGCGUGGUGUAGCGGUGAAAUGCAUAGAUAUCACGCAGAACUCCGAUUGCGAAGGCAGCUUACUAAACCAUAACUGACACUGAAGCACGAAAGCGUGGGGAUCAAACAGGAUUAGAUACCCUGGUAGUCCACGCAGUAAACGAUGAUUACUAGGAGUUUGCGAUACAAUGUAAGCUCUACAGCGAAAGCGUUAAGUAAUCCACCUGGGGAGUACGCCGGCAACGGUGAAACUCAAAGGAAUUGACGGGGGCCCGCACAAGCGGAGGAACAUGUGGUUUAAUUCGAUGAUACGCGAGGAACCUUACCCGGGCUUGAAUUGCAACUGACGGAGCUGGAAACAGUUCUUUCUUCGGACAGUUGUGAAGGUGCUGCAUGGUUGUCGUCAGCUCGUGCCGUGAGGUGUCGGCUUAAGUGCCAUAACGAGCGCAACCCUUGCCGAUAGUUACUAACAGGUCAUGCUGAGGACUCUGUCGGGACUGCCAUCGUAAGAUGUGAGGAAGGUGGGGAUGACGUCAAAUCAGCACGGCCCUUACGUCCGGGGCUACACACGUGUUACAAUGGGGGGUACAGAAGGCAGCUACACGGCGACGUGAUGCCAAUCCC